GCCGGUCCUCGGUAGUGGCCCCCGGUCAUCGCGGCUCGUGCCGCACGCGAACCGGGCGCUUCGAUCGAAGACCGGC
rfam:Planomonospora sphaerica DNA, contig: NODE_5_L447240_C33.